rnacentral:rRNA from 1 species
GUUUGAUCCUGGCUCAGAAUCAACGCUGGCGGCGUGCCUCAGACAUGCAAGUCGAACGAUUAAAGCUCUCUUCGGAGAGUGUAUAGAGUGGCGCACGGGUGAGUAACACGUAAGUAAUCUACCCUCGAGUGGGGAAUAACAACCGGAAACGGUUGCUAAUACCGCAUAAUGCAGCGGCACCGCAAGGUGACAGUUGUUAAAGAUUUAUCGCUUGAGGAGGAGCUUGCGGCAGAUUAGCUAGUUGGUAGGGUAACGGCUUACCAAGGCUACGAUCUGUAACCGGUCUAAGAGGACGGUCGGUCACACUGACACUGAAUAACGGGUCAGACUCCUACGGGAGGCAGCAGUCGGGAAUUUUGGGCAAUGGGCGAAAGCCUGACCCAGCAACGCCGCGUGAAGGAUGAAGUAUUUCGGUAUGUAAACUUCGAAAGAAUAGGAAGAAUUAAUGACGGUACUAUUUAUAAGGUCCGGCUAACUACGUGCCAGCAGCCGCGGUAAUACGUAGGGACCAAGCGUUGUUCGGA